GAAGAAGAGGAAGAAGCAGAAGAUGAAUUUUUCAGAACAUUUUCCUUAAAAAUAAGAAAAACAUACCGAUUUCUUUUUUAGAGCAUCCAUUUCUGUGGAUGUCCCUUCACAAUGAUCACAUCAAAAAAUCUUCUUGGAUCCUUGGAACUCUGAUUCGUUUUGGAGGAUUUGAUGUUGAGUCCUGAAUCUCUUGGGUUUCUGUCAAAAGAAUGCCAAAACGGAAGUACAAAUUGUACUUGGAGCCUCACAGUACAAUCAACGCUGAGCUAAACUGAAAAGUGGACAUUUUGAUGUGGCAGAUGACUUCAAAAACAAAUCAGGGUCACACGUUGCAGAUGUUGAGAUGGAUUGGGAUUCCCCAUUUGAAGGCACUGUUUUUCUGGAGUCGUUAAUAUAAGACGUUGGAACGAUUUCUUUAACUCCUUCGUCCAAGUAUUUAACGUAGGCAAACAUUUUUGCUUAAUUGAUCGUUUGAUGUGGUUGCCGUGUGGGUCAUCCAGAGCCCUAUAAUAGAAAUUCUACAUAAAGAAGCAGGUGCCACCCCACUCCCCGGAACGUUCCUUGCUCGCCUACACCAAGACCUGGACAACCCAGGUGGACUUGGG